GAUGAACGCUAGCUACAGGCUUAACACAUGCAAGUCGAGGGGAAACGACAUCGAAAGCUUGCUUUUGAUGGGCGGCGACCGGCGCACGUGUGAGUAACGCGUAUCCAACCUGCCCAUCACUUGGGAAUAACCUUGCGAAAGUAAUACUAAUACCCAAUGACAUCCCCCGAAGACAUCUGAAUGGGAUGAAAGUUUUAUCGGUGAUGGAUGGGGAUGCGUCUGAUUAGCUUGUUGGCGGGGUAACGGCCCACCAAGGCAACGAUCAGUAGGGGUUCUGAGAGGAAGGUCCCCCACAUUGGAACUGAGACACGGUCCAAACUCCUACGGGAGGCAGCAGUGAGGAAUAUUGGUCAAUGGGCGAGAGCCUGAACCAGCCAAGUAGCGUGCAGGAUGACGGCCCUAUGGGUAGUAAACUGCUUUUAUAAGGGAAUAAAGUGGGUAUCGUGAGACUUUUUGCAUGUACCUUAUGAAUAAGGACCGGCUAAUUCCGUG
rnacentral:rRNA from 1 species